AUGCAGAUGGCGGGCCUGUGCUGGAUGGCUGUAGCGCUGGUCUUGUCGCUGUCUGCUGGAAACAGUUGGGCUGUGGUGGACCAGAACAAACUUGCAAGAAUUGUCAUUGAUAUUGUGAGCAAGUAUAGACCACACUACGAGGUCAACGGUAAAAGAAGAUCACCCAUGUUCAGUCUGGCUGUAACCGUUCCAUACAACAGGGAAAGCUCAGAGUAUGAUACCGAUCGACUAACAGACUCUGCUGUUGAUGUAAGAAAUACGAUUGUAGAUUGUGAUGUGUACACUGGCACAAGGAUGGUUGCAGCUACAGUUCUGAGAUGGGACAAUGUUUUGGAUCAGUGUCCUGAUAGACCUGUGCAAUGGAAGGACGUUCUGAGAAAAUGUCGUCGAAGGUCAAUGACAUGGGCUGAGCUGGACAAGAUGCGUCAGGAUAGAAGGACUGAAGAACAGUGCCGUACUGCAGUUUGGGAGGGUAGAGCUGAUCAUGCAGAGUACCGUACUCUGCAGCACUUCAACAACUUGGUCAACAAUCGUAACGAAAAUGAUUUGUUGCUUUUCUACGUUCUUGCUGCCCCAUGUGAUCAAAAAUGUGCAAGCAACGGCCGCUUUGGCAUUCUGGAAAGCAUAAAAGAGAUUAAGAAGUGGAAGAAUUAUGCUGUUGUGUUUUCCAAUGUGUUCCGGCCCCGUGAUGGUGAACCCAUACCUGAAGGGAACCGUAUGGCCCUUGAGAAGCUUGGGAAUUCAGUUGGUCUGAGCAACAUAUUCCGUUGCAACAUAGAAGAUACACCUGAGUGCAGAAGCUGCUCGGCUGGUAAUAAAGUUGACCCCUAUUGUUUCGCAGACGAUUCCCAAUCUGGUUUCAACUUGCCUCAACGAGGCAGAAGUGAUUAUCGCUCACAAAGUGGUGACAGACACAGACACAAAGAUAGAAAAGUGGGUGGAUUCGAAACAGGGGAAAGUUGGGGGAGAAGCGGAAGAGUGAGCAAGCACAGAGCAGUGGGAAAAAGCAGACGACGAAGUAAAGACAGAAGAGAUAACAAGAGCAGGGAUAGGAGUAAAAUCAGAAGAGAGAGCAGGAAGAGAAAAAGGAGUAAAGACAGAAGAGAUAGCAGGAGCAGGGAUAGGAGUAAAAUCAGAAGAGAGAGCAGGAAGAGAAAAAGGAGUAAAGACAGAAGAGAUAGCAGCAGUAGAGGAGGAGGGCGGUACAGAGGAUACUCAGGAUGAGCUUCAAAUCCAUGUACACAUAAACUCUGAGAACUAAAUAAUGCAUUUACAUUCAAACUGUUCUCAGUUCACAUCUAUGUGAGAUCAUUUGCAAGCUGCUUUGCAUUAAAUAGUUAACAAAUGAAAAAUCUAGAAAUAACUCAGUGGCCUUGAAAUGCACAAUGCUCUAAGAUUGAGAUAUGCUCCAAAAAUCAUAGCUAAUUUGUGUAUUGUAUGGCUUCUAUUUGUAGGCCUCAUAGUACUUCCCCCAGGGGUGGAGCUUCUGCCACCAGGGUUAACGCAGGUGUUUUGCAUAUUGCCAGUGAUUAGAACUGGUUAUUCGCACCAGCCUGUCCACUGUUGUCGGAGGUCACACAGACUGAAAGCUUGCUAAAUAAAGUGAUAUGUGGUAUACACUUACGCUUCCAGCACCUUAGCAAAGAUUUAGUCGCGUGGAUCCUCCAUUAUUAAACUCAACAAGAAUGAUAUCAUGUGUUUAAUUAACACCAAAUAAUUUGUCAAACAUCACCAUUUUAAGAGAGACAGCAUGUUCCAACAUUAGUAUGUGAUAAAUUCAUGUCAGUAUUUACAGUACUCCUGUCAUUGUCUACUUCUGUAAAUCCCGGUUGUUUUUGUUCUUUCUGAUUAAAGCUUGGCUCAGCAUCCAAUCUGCUCUGUCUGUGUGUCAUUUUGCAGUAACACAAGUAUAAUUUUACAGGUUUGGAUCCUGUAGGCAUUAUAUUUUAACGUAUUAUUUAUCUCUAUUCACUUCUUCCCUCUUCAGAUCAAGGCAUGGUGCCACACUGAAGGUUUACUGAAGGUACCUUCUAAUGUGAGAGCACUGCCACACAUUAUAUCCUGGCCCCGAAACCAACUGUUACUGUGAUAUUAAAUUGAAACUUUAUUAUUUUUAAGUAUAUAAAAUAGGUCUAAUAUAAUAUUCAUAACUGUUUUCAUUAGUGUAUAAUCAGACACUGGCUCUAGAAAUGUGUCACACUAAAGUGUCUGUGUCUGUUCUCACACUGUAGAAAAUUGUUCCGCUUCUACACAGGCAGUUGAAACCGCACUGCGCCUUCUUCUUCUCCAUUUCAGCCAAAUUAAUCA
rnacentral:lncRNA from 15 species